rnacentral:rRNA from 1 species
GCAAGUCGAGCGCACCCUUCGGGGCGAGCGGCGGACGGGUUAGUAACGCGUGGGAACAUACCUUUCACUACGGAAUAGCCAUUGGAAACGAUGAGUAAUACCGUAUACGCCCUUCGGGGGAAAGAUUUAUCGGUGAAAGAUUGGCCCGCGUUAGAUUAGCUAGUUGGUAGGGUAAGAGCCUACCAAGGCGACGAUCUAUAGCUGGUCUGAGAGGAUGAUC